rnacentral:rRNA from 1 species
UACGUAGGGUCCGAGCGUUGUCCGGAAUUACUGGGCGUAAAGAGCUCGUAGGUGGUUUGUCGCGUUGUUCGUGAAAACUCACAGCUCAACUGUGGGCGUGCGGGCGAUACGGGCAGACUUGAGUACUGCAGGGGAGACUGGAAUUCCUGGUGCAGCGGUGGAAUGCGCAGAUAUCAGGAGGAACACCGGUGGCGAAGGCGGUUCUCUGGGCAUUACCUGACGCUGAGGAGCGAAAGUGUGGGGAGGCGAACAGGA